UGUUGGUUUUCUUUUUUUUAAGAGUCUAAAUGGGUCCAACUCCAUUUAAUUUUCUCUGUAGUUUAUUGACUGAAAAAGCUAUAGCUUCCACCUUUGAGGAAGUAAUAGUCUGGUAGGACAGUUGGGAGGCCACGUGGGAGGAUGGGUGAUGGAUACAAGAACCGCAGCACUCAGCAGAAGGGGAGAUCGCUCAAGGAUCAUUCUUUGAGGAUUAUGGGAAUCCUUAAAAAUCUGCUGAACCCCAUGGGUUCUUUUCUGCACACACGCACACACACUCACACAUACGCAUGCACACACACACACACACAUACACACACACACACAUAGUGCUUUAAACUUUUCAUGAUUUUCUUUUUUGUGGGGGGGAGUUGUAUUUAAGGGUGUUCAUUGUUACGUCUCCAAGGCACUUAAAACUUCAGGCUAAAAUUGCUGUUCUGAAGAUAUACUUAGCUAGAAGAGCCUGGAAUGUUGGUGCCAGCAGUGACAUGGCCAGUCUCAGACGAGAACCUUCCUGUGUCAGUCAUCAGGAGGGUCUGGGCAGCCCAUGUGGUGCGAGGGCGUGCUAAAGAAAUCACAACUUCCUUGGCGCAUAAGUGAAGAGCCUGGAAUGUUGGUGCCAGCAGUGACAUGGCCAGUCUCAGACGAGAACCUUCCUGUGUCAGUCAUCAGGAGGGUCUGGGCAGCCCAUGUGGUGCGAGGGCGUGCUAAAGAAAUCACAACUUCCUUGGCGCAUACUUUGAAUCCUGCUAAUUCACAAACGCUAAGGUGGGCAAUCCCAAGAGCACAGAGUUGUUCGCAGAGAUCACCAGUUAUGGCUCCUUUUAAAAAUGUAAGUGACACAGUCAUAGUGAUCAUGGCUGAGCUCAUUUUAAAGAGAAGGAAAUACUGAGAGACUUAGAGAUUGACCCAAGAGUAAAAGUCUGCACCUGAGUCGAACAUGGGCCGUUGGCUGGGACGGUCCUUGCUUUCGCUGUUCUCCCUCACCACAUAGCAAAGGAGUAAGAAAAUGGAAGGAUGGAUGUAACUAAUACUGCUCACUUGUGAUACCCAUCUCACUUUAUUGUAGCCCGUCUUAACUCUUCACUUGCUCUCCUAGACUGUACCAUUCCCACGAGAAUGGGGAUUAUACCUGCUUUGAAAACCACAGCUACAGCCAGUACUCUUCUCACAAUGGAUGCUCAGGAAGUACAUCCCUCCCCAGGGUGACUGAAGGACAACAGAGUUACAGGAGUUCCACUUCUGUACAUGAUAAGAUGGAUGAAGCAAAGAAGUGCAGGCCGACAGGAACCGGAUAUAGAUCUCUCCUGAGAGACACAGCCAGAAUACAGCAAAUACAUAGGCGAAUGCCAGCAGCAAACCACUGAACUGAGAGCGGGAUCCCGGGUGAAGGAAUCAGAGAAAGAACUGGAAGAGCUUGAAGGGUCUUGAGACCCGAUAAGAACAACAAUGCCAAGCAACCAGAGCUUCCAGGGACUAAGCCACUACCCAAAGACUAUACAUGGACUGACCCUGGACUCUGACCUCAUAGGUAGCAAUGAAUAGCCUAGUAAGAGCACCAGUGGAAGGGGAAGCCCUGGGUCCUGCCAAGACUGAACCCCCAGUGAACGUGAUUGUUGUGGGGAGGGCGGUAAUGGGGGGGAAGGGGGGGUUAGGGGGAUGUUGGCCCGGAAACCAGGAAAGGGAGUAACAAUCGAAAUGUAAAUAAGAAAUACUCAAGUUAAUAAAGAUAAAAAAAUAAAAUAAAAAAAAAAGAGCUA